GAAGCAGAGUAAGGUUAAGGAAAAAUUACAAUGAAAACUUGAAUUCUCGGUGUGUUUUUUUCUUUUUUGAGUGUUGGAAGAUAUGUCAUCUCUGGCUUUUCUUAAGAGUCUUCAGCUCUUCAGCGUUUGUUCACCAUCCUGGUUAUGUGCCUUCCUGAGCUUCUCACCAUGUCUUCUCACAAGACUUUCAGAAUCAAGCGGUUUCUGGUCAAGAAGCAAAAGCAAAAUCGCCCCAUUCCUCCGUGGAUUCGGAUAAAAACUGGUAACAAAAUCAGGUACAACUCCAAGAGAAGACACUGGAGGAGAACCAAGCUGGGUCUGUAAGGAAUUGCUUCAGAUGCCCACACAUUUAUGCUCUACCAUGAACCAGCCAAGCUGAAACGUCAAUACUGCCUGGACUGACAGUUGGGCAUUUUUAAAAUUGAUUUUUCUUUGGUUAUUUUAAUAAUGGGCACAGUAAUAAACAUGUAAUAAACAUCACAUUUGA